rnacentral:lncRNA from 1 species
CACCAGACAUUAUUUCUGAUGCCCCGCCUUCUUUCUCGGUAAAAUAUCAUUUCUCCACUCAUCUUAAUCAUAAUUUUUUUCUUUGUUCAUCAUUUUUGUUUGUUUCCGUUUUCAGUCGAUUCCUACUUCUCCAUCGGUCUCAGCUUCAGACAAAAGACCGAUUGAAGUUGUUCAAGUCACUUCCCCGCCGUCUUCCAAACGC